GACGAACGCUGGCGGCGUGCCUAAUACAUGCAAGUUGAGCGCUGAAGGUUGGUACUUGUACCGACUGGAUGAGCAGCGCACGGGUGAGUAACGCGUGGGGAAUCUGCCUUUGAGCGGGGGACAACAUUUGGAAACGAAUGCUAAUACCGCAUAAAAACUUUAAACACAAGUUUUAAGUUUGAAAGAUGCAAUUGCAUCACUCAAAGAUGAUCCCGCGUUGUAUUAGCUAGUUGGUGAGGUAAAGGCUCACCAAGGCGAUGAUACAUAGCCGACCUGAUAGGCUGAACGGCGAAAUCAGGAUCGGGAAACGGCCAAAACGCAGACGGGAGGAAGCAGUAGGGAAACGUCGGCGAUGGACGGAAGUGUGACCGUGGAACGCUGCGUGGGUGAAGAAGGUCUUAGGAUCGUAAAGCUGUGUUGGUAGGGAAGAACGUUGGUGAGAGUGGAAAGCUCAACAAGUGACGGUAACUACCCAGAAAGGGACGGCUAACUACGUG
rnacentral:rRNA from 1 species